CCUACGGGAGGCAGCAGUGGGGAAUAUUGCGCAAUGGGCGAAAGCCUGACGCAGCGACGCCGCGUGAGUGAUGAAGGUCUUCGGAUCGUACACCUCUGUCAGCAGGGAAGAAAGGUAACUGACCUAAUCAGCAGUGCCUUUACGGUACCUGCACAGGAAGCACCGUAUAACUCCGUGACAGCAGCCGCGGUAAUACGGAGGGGUCGAGCGUUAAUCGGAAUUACUGCGCGUAAAGCGCUCGUAGUCAGUAUGUCAAUCUAAGGGUGAAAUCCCCGCGCUCAACGUGGGAACUGCCUUUGAAACUGGCAAACUAGAGUGUGUGAGAGGAUAGUGGAAUUCCAGGUGUAGGGGUGAAAUGCGGAGAUAUCUGGAGGAACAUCAGUGGCGAAGGCGACUAACUGG
rnacentral:rRNA from 1 species